rnacentral:tRNA from 1 species
UGGGGAGUAGCCAAGUGGUAAGGCAACGGACUUUGACUCCGUGAUGCGCAGGUUCGAAUCCUGCCUCUCCAG